GAUGAACGCUGGCGGCGUGCCUAAUACAUGCAAGUCGAGCGAACAGACGAGGAGCUUGCUCCUCUGACGUUAGCGGCGGACGGGUGAGUAACACGUGGAUAACCUACCUAUAAGACUGGGAUAACUUCGGGAAACCGGAGCUAAUACCGGAUAAUAUAUUGAACCGCAUGGUUCAAUAGUGAAAGACGGUUUUGCUGUCACUUAUAGAUGGAUCCGCGCCGCAUUAGCUAGUUGGUAAGGUAACGGCUUACCAAGGCAACGAUGCGUAGCCGACAUGAGAGACGGAUGAGCAACACUGGAACUGAGACACGGUCCAGGGUCCUACGGGGGGGAGGAGUGGGGAAUGUUUGGGAAUGGGCGCAAACCUGAUAAAGCAAUAAGGAGUGGGUGAAGAAGGUGUUAGGGUCGUAAAGAGUUUUUGUUGGGAAAAAAAAGCAGCCGGUUACUAACCAGCUGUCCUGACGGGAGAUAAAGAAUAAGCAACGGCUAACUUCGUG
rnacentral:rRNA from 1 species